rnacentral:snRNA from 1 species
GUGCUCGCUUCAGCAGCACAUGUACUAAAAUUGGAGUGACACAGAGAAGAUUAGCGUGGCCCCUGCACAAGGAUGACACGCAGUUCAUUCUAUUUUAUU